AUUCCAGCUCCAAUAGCGUAUAUUAAAGUUGUUGCAGUUAAAAAGCUCGUAGUUGGAUUUCUGGCGGGAUGAACACGCCCUCAGCUGAGUGUGCAUGAGCGUCUCACCAUCCUUCUGUUAACCCUUAAGGUUUUAACGACCUUCUGGGGGCUCAGAUAUUUUACCUUGAGAAAAUUAGAGUGUUUCAGGCAGGCUAGCGCCGGGAUACAUUAGCAUGGAAUAAUGGAAUAGGACUUUUUCCUCUUCUGUUGGUCUGAGGGGUUCGAGUAAUGAUUAAUAGGGAUAGUUGGGGGCAUUAGUACUUUGCUGUCAGAGGUGAAAUUCUCGGAUUCGCAAAAGACUAACUUAUGCGAAAGCAUUUGCCAAGGAUGUUUUCAUUA
rnacentral:rRNA from 1 species